CUACUACUGCUACUUCUUCUAAGGUAUCGGUCAAUUGUGAUCAAAUGUGGGUGUGAGUACCGAUAUCUGUGGUAAUAGUAGUUAGUUAAGUAGUAAAGGAGGAGGAGUAGUAGUACGUCAAAUCAUACAUUAUUGCCUACCUUCGGUGGGGUGCCUAGUCUGCCUAACACCUUGGUGGUAUGCCCGUGUAUUUCUUGCUGUUGCUGCUGUUGCAUGAAAUGCACCGGUCCAUACCCGGGCGGUAGAGUAGUGCACUAGUAGUUGCCACUGCCACUCCUGUUGCCUUCUUUUAUUGUGCGGUACAUGGGGUAACGUGUGUGUAUGCGUAAGUGACUAUUAGUGUGCAAGGCAUAAGAUGUUUGGAUGGUACUAUUGGUUGUGCUCCAUUAAUACCAUCCUACGCCCCACUAUGCGUCGAGUUCUAUUACAUUAUCUACCUUUAGUAGAUAUAUGUAUGUGCAUUUAUUUUCACUUGUGUUUGUGUGUAUUUGUAUAUGUGAAAGUGUAGACAAUGCACAUUAAUAACAUCUACAAAUAGACUGGCUGGGAUGGUUAACUAAAUAAGUACUGUCCGGUCAGCAUUUUGGCGAUGGUAAUAUUACCUAGCCACGAAAGAAAGACAUACGCUAUAUACGCUGUGUGUGUGCGUAUGU
rnacentral:misc_RNA from 1 species